rnacentral:lncRNA from 1 species
CUUUGUAGGCCAUCUAACUUAGCUUGUAUACUAAGUUUAUAUCUUACUAAGUUUAUAUAUUUGAGGGACUGAGGAAAUGGCAGUUGGGCGAAGGAAUGAGAAUGGGUGAUGAUCAGCAGAUGAGACUGGAGAGAGCGGCAGGUGGCAAAGUGGGAGGAACUUAGGUCACGGGAAAGAGUUUGGCUUUUUGCAGGAGGGGAGUUGCAGAGGGAAAGAGAAAGAAUCUCAAGCAGUCUCCACGCUCCAUCUCACGACCCGGAGAUCAUGACCUGAGCUGAAAUCAAGAGUCAGACGCUUAAUCGACUGAGCCACCCAGGUGCCCUGAAGAGUUUGCCUUUUAUCACAAGGAUUAAGGGAGGGCUUAAACUGAAAAAGCACACUAUUUUGGUGACCUUCUGGAGAGUUAAUCUCACCAACUUUGGAGCUGAAAUCCUUUAGAGUAUCAUUAAUAUUUUAAACUGUGUAAAUUUAGGGAUUGAUUCACGUCAUUGAAUCUCAUGGUCAUGCAGCAAGUACCACAUUAAUUCUGAGUUCUCUACACCAUUUGCCAGCCCUAAUCGCUACAGUGAACCUGUAUUGUUGAGGAGGGAGACAGACAAUAAAAGUAAGUAAAUCAUAUGUUAUAUUGGAUGGUGAUAAGUGCCACGGAAAUAAAUAAACAAGGG